CUUCAGAUGCAGCACUGAGGUCAUCCUUGCUCCUCCAGAGGAACCCUCCUGUCACAGCUCCUGUGUCACUAAACCACAUGUGUGCAGUUGUUGCUAUGGAAACCAGGCUUUUGGCCCUCAAAGCAGAUGAUGGAAUUCGGCACGACUCCAAAAUGAGUCGCGUAGCUCGAAUGUCGGCCUCAAACCAUGCAAGAGGACAUGGCAUCUUUCUGCAUGGUGAAGGCUGUAGAGAGAUCCUGGAAGAGCUGGGUGUCUCCCAGGAACGUGUCCGUGCAGUGAUCUACAACAAACUCCAGAGAGCAGAGAACAAUCCAAACAGUGGAAACAGACAGAGUCUCCAAAUCAGUGAGGUCUGCAUCAAGGUGAUGGUCUCUGUUUUCUGGUGCUGGACCACCUGAAAAAGGGUCACACUGUUACAGGGGCCGACUACACUGAUCUCUGAGACAGCUACAGGAGGAGACCAACAAGAUCCAGACCACAAGUCCACCAUCAUCCAACACCUGUUCACCUGAUCUACACCCUCACACUGACACCUCUCCAACAGGAUGGAGGAGGAGGAGGAGCUCAGCGGCCGCCAUUUUGUUGUCACCUGUCCGCCAUGUUUAGGUGAGUGUUUUAGCUCUGUGCUACUUCUGCUUUCAUUCAUUGAUCUGAUUUCAAAAAUGUCCAAACCAACAAAGACUGAAAACACUUUAUUUAGUCGCUGUACACUGGUGAAUGAGGAGGAUUUCCUUCCUAUGAGCUCAUGACUGAAGGCUUUCAGCAACUUAAGAGUGCAGAGGCACGACAACCACGAAGACCACGCAGCAAAUAGCUCUAUGUGCUUUUGAUCUGCUGGUCUAAGAAGCUGGCUUGAUCUUCUGGCACCGUACUAUGUCGUCUGCAUGCACAUCACUGUGUUCAAACUGCGGAAGAAGUAUCCAGGUCCUCAGGUUUUGGGGGUGUGGGGGUCACCUGGAUGAGGCUCUCUCCCUGUACCAACAUGGCAGCGUGCAGCUCGGCUGCAGUCAGCAUGGUGGUGUCCCUGUUUCUCACCAAACCUCUGAGGAUUACUGGCCCCUGAUUUAGAUUCCAACUCCUGUUUUUUCUGCUCACGGCGCGUGCCGUAACCGGACACUGUGAGCCGGAGCCAGCACCCAGGCUAAUCCCUGCGCUGAUGCCGUCCAUUCAUCCAGAUGCUGCCAGUUAGCAGACAAUCUGCCCCGCUUCUCUUCAGACAGACUGUGAAACAAACACACGGCUGCUGUCGCUCUGACCUUUGUGAACAAUGUGUAAAAAGAUGGCCGCCUGCAUGUAUUACAUGCUGCACGCAGGCAGGAGGCUUCACAGCUCAUAUUUUUAGAAGUUACGUCCAACCUGCCUCUACCUUCAUCACGCGAGGCGGUGGAGUGUUGGGAA
rnacentral:lncRNA from 1 species